GACAGAGGGUGCAAACGUUGCUCGGAAUUACUGGCGUAAAGCGUAUGCAGGCGGAUCGUUAAGUCGGGGGUGAAAUCCCGAGGCUCAACCUCGGAACUGCCUUCGAUACUGGCGACCUUCGAGUCCGGGAGAGGUGAGUGGAACUCCGAGUGUAGAGGUGAAAUUCGUAGAUAUUCGGAAGAACACCAGUGGCGAAGGCGGCUCACUGGCCCGGUACUGACGCCUGAGAUA
rnacentral:rRNA from 1 species